rnacentral:rRNA from 1 species
AACGAACGCUGGCGGCAUGCCUAACACAUGCAAGUCGAACGAAACCGUCGGGUCUUGUGGCGCACGGCGGCGUAACGCGGGGGAACCUACACGUAAGUUCGCAAUAACUCACCGAGAGGGAUGCUAAUACCGGAUAAUGUCUUAGGACCAAGGAUUUAUCGCCGCUGGGUGGGCCCUUGUUGGAUUAGUUGGUUGGUAGGGUAAAAGCAUGCCAAGGCGCGGUUCCUUGGCUGGUCUGGUAGGAAGCUUAGCAACGCUGGGAAUGAGGCCCGGCCCCGACUGGUACGGGAGGGAGGAGAGGGUAAUAUUGGAGAAUGGGGGCAAGUGUGAUAAAGCCAUGUCGGGUGAGUGAGGAAGGCCUUAGGGAUGUAAAGCUCUCUUACACGGGAUGAUAAUGACAGUACCGGGAGAAUAAGCUCCGGCUAACUACGUG